rnacentral:rRNA from 1 species
AGUCGAACGGUGAAGCCCCGCUUGCGGGGUGGAUCAGUGGCGAACGGGUGAGUAACACGUGAGCAACCUGCCCCUGACUCUGGGAUAAGCGCUGGAAACGGCGUCUAAUACUGGAUAUGAGCUUCCACCGCAUGGUGGGGGUUGGAAAGAUUUUUUGGUUGGGGAUGGGCUCGCGGCCUAUCAGCUUGUUGGUGAGGUAAUGGCUCACCAAGGCGUCGACGGGUAGCCGGCCUGAGAGGGUGACCGGCCACACUGGGACUGAGACACGGCCCAGACUCCUACGGGAGGCAGCAGUGGGGAAUAUUGCACAAUGGGCGGAAGCCUGAUGCAGCAACGCCGCGUGAGGGAUGACGGCCUUCGGGUUGUAAACCUCUUUUAGCAAGGAAGAAGCGAAAGUGACGGUACUUGCAGAAAAAGCGCCGGCUAACUACGUGCCAGCAGCCGCGGUAAUACGUAGGGCGCAAGCGUUAUCCGGAAUUAUUGGGCGUAAAGAGCUCGUAGGCGGUUUGUCGCGUCUGCUGUGAAAUCCCGAGGCUCAACCUCGGGCCUGCAGUGGGUACGGGCAGACUAGAGUGCGGUAGGGGAGAUUGGAAUUCCUGGUGUAGCGGUGGAAUGCGCAGAUAUCAGGAGGAACACCGAUGGCGAAGGCAGAUCUCUGGGCCGUAACUGACGCUGAGGAGCGAAAGGGUGGGGAGCAAACAGGCUUAGA